UACUGGUCAGCCAUGUUCCUGUUGCUCAUCUCAACACUGGGGAUAUUUGCCCUGCGAGACACCGGAGCCCAGUCAGUGACCCAGCCUGACGUCCAUGUCACUGUCUCUGAAGGAUUCCGUGUGGAGCUGAGGUGCAACUAUUCCUACAGCGGAACUCCCUAUCUCUUCUGGUACGUGCAGCACCCCAGCCAAGGACUCCAGCUUCUCCUCAAGUACUUUUCAGGGGACACCCUGGUUAAAGGCAUCAAAGAUUUUGAGGCUGAAUUCAAGAAGCAUGAAACCACCUUCCACCUGAAGAAAUCUGCAGCUCUUGGCAGCGAUGCAGCCAAGUACUUCUGUGCUGUGAGCGACACAAUCUGUGUCCCGGCCAUGGAGCAGAUCGGAAUCUUUCCCUUGCAUAUUGGGUCCCAGUCAUGGGGACAGUUGGCUGCACUUUACAUCGUCUACUCCUGUAGAGGUCCCUUUUCUUCCUACUAG